UCUGGAAACCCCUCGGUCAUUGUUUCACCUACCUUGAGAGUGUGAUCUCCAAGCAUCUGGGCAUUUAAAUUCCAUGGUUACUGUUUGAGGAGAUAUAUAAAAGGCUUGAUUUAAAAAAUGCGGGCAAGUGGCCAUCACCGACCAUGUGGGCAAGAGGCCGGACAGACAAGACCCUCCGCAUUUGAAGUAGUGCCCCUAUGAGACACCUAAUGAAGGCAACACCCUCCCCCGGUUGGCCGCAUGCCAAUUGGGUCCACCUGACGCAUGCAAAUGCUGACAGCCAAACCCGUCUCAACCGUCGCGUGCGAAGCAGCGCGUGAGAGACUGCACACAAGCGCGAUCGAAAACACCGCAGGACGGUGGCCCUGGCCGCACCCGCGGGCCACGUGUUAUGGACCUCGAGUAAAUUUGUCCAAGUGUGAGGCAGCCUUUGAGAUCGAAACACGCGAAACGCACCAAGCAGCCAAUCGUGCGAGGCCCAGGGGCAACAAACGGCGUGGUUGGCACUCUCGCGUCGCGAGGGCCCUAGGAGGCGGGUACUUCAACAUCAUUUAUAGGACUAAUGUAUAUGCUAGUAACCUCACCAUUAAAAUAAUAGGUUACCACACUACACUUCAGGCAACACAUAACCAAACAACGACACAUUGCAUAUGAGGAGCACAUACCCACAACCAAAUGUCGUGCUUGCGUUUGUGCUGCCAUGUAGUGUGGGGAUUUGUGGGCAAUCAAACAAAGUGUAGAACCUGGUUUAGAGCAUGUAUGUAGGAGGUCCGAAAUUGAUCCAGGGAACAAAACCAAUUACACCCAACAUUGUUUUUAGGGACAUUUACAUUUGUGCCCCUAACUCAAACCUACUACACAGAUUACUCCUAAUUUCAAAGCAUUCUCAAAUUUGCCCCCUGUGCCGUUAUGUGCCCUUACAGAAAUGCCUUCCGUGCCAUAUCCGCCCGGUCAAAGUCCUUUGACCAUCAAUGGGGCGUUUCCUGGACAUAUUUGCCCCUCUAUUCACUUGUCACUUACAUGUGGGUCCUACUCUAGGAAAAAGAGAAUUUUUUGUCUUAUUCACUCUCACUCACUUAUAACAUAAAAAACUCUCCCUCUCUCAUAACCUCUCUCUCCUUGACAUGUGUGCCAAGGACCCACUUGCAGUGUCCACACCAGUCCACGCGCUCCAAAGCAAGGCAAGGCUCGCCAGGUGGCCGUCGCCGAUGAGGGGCGGCGCGCCUACAUGUGAAGACCAAGGGGACGGGUUCGGGGUGGUUUGUCGAAGGAUUUGCAGGUGGUGGUCGAGGCGGGUGGCGGCGGACUGCGACGCCAUGCACGGGGAGCGCAUGAGACAUUCCGCGGAGGACGUCGAUGCUAGCUGUCUCGGUCGAAGGCUAGAUCGAGACCAAAGAGCAUGGCCAUGUGCCCCUCUGGCCGCCUCAAUUGGGCCUGGGGCCGCCUGUAGACGACGGACGAGACUCUGAUCUCCGCCAUGGAUGUGCUUUUGAGCUCCUAAAUUCGUCCGCCCCGAGCCACCGUUGACCUCCCCGACCUCAAUGCAUCGUCGCUGAAAUCUUGUGGACCUACUCCCCUCUUCCACUGCUCGACCCCGUUCCCGGAGCGCCCUGCCCGAAGCUGGCCACCAUGAUUGACCUCGGCUGGCUCGGUCGUCUGCGCGCGCCCACCUACCUACGAGUGACGUGCCCGUGAAGAUGAAUUGGUGUGCAAGGAGUGCCUCACACAGCUAUACUGCCCGCCUCACACUCUCCUCCCGCGACCGUCUAUAGCCACGUACGGCGAGCCGUCGGCGAGCGCAGCCGGCCGGACAUGCGUUUGGGGACGUGUGGACCGUUGUUGACCCUCGCAGUGGGUCCCAUGGUCCACAUGUCAGAGAGAGAGAGUGUGUGUUUUAUUUUUAUUUUUUAUGCUUGUUGGGGUCCAUCUAUAAGUUAGAGAGAGGGGAUGAGAUAGUGAGUUUUUUUAACUUUGGGCAGGUCCAUGUGUAAGUUAUAUAUGCAUCGAAGGGCAAAUAUGUCUAGAAAACGUCCUAUUGAUGGUCAAAGGCCUUUGACCAAACGGAAAUGGCACAGAAGGACAUUUUUAUAAAGGCACCUAACGGGAGAGGGGGAAAUUUGAACACGCUUCAAAAUUAUGGAUAAAUCUUAGUAGUGGGUUCGAGUUAAGGGCUGAAAUAUAAAUGACCCUUGUUUUUUUAUAAUAGCAGAGAUAAAUGGUGUUUCCUAUUUGACUAACAUGCCUCAAAUAGUCGCCUAUUGGCACAUGAGCGACCGAGUUGGGCCGACCAAUUUAACGCUAGAUAAAUUGAAUGUUAGUUCCGAUUUUGGAAACCUUCUACAAGGUCCCUGGAUCGGUGUGUGUCCCUUUUUUGUUUCUUUUUUAUUUUCUAUGUUUUCAAAAAAGUUACCUUUUUUAAGAAAAAUGUUUGGAAUUUUUAGAAAAUGCUUUUAGAUUAAAAAAGUAUUUUUGGGUGUGUUUUCAAAUAUUAUUUGGAAUUUACGAAAUCUGCAUUUUCAGAAUUUGUUCACAGUAAAAAAGCAUUUAAAAAAUUGUUUUUUAAAUGAUUCCAUUUUUUAGAAAACCGUAACUUCAUUUUUCAGAAAUUUGAAAAGUUGUUCGCAUUUUCAGUAGAUAUUUUCUUUUACAAUAAAAUAUAUUCAUAUUUCGAGAAAAGUUAGAUUCGUUUCAAAAAGGUUGCUAGCUGAUUGCUACAGUACCGAGCGCUACAGAGUCGGGCCGGCCCAGUCGUUGCCUCCUCUUCUGUGCGUCGGAGUCCCCGAGAUAAAUAUCGACUCGUUCAGUGUGUGCCAGCGAGCCCAUCCAUAGAUUCAUCUCUCCUCCCUGCGUUAGGGUUCCACUCCCGUUCCUCCUCCGGCCGCCACCUCCGCAUCGACCUCCUCGGUUGCCAUGGUGAUGGAUGACAACAAACUCCGGGUGCUCCAGAUCCCUCCGCCUAUCCACCCCGACGAUCCGGAUUCUCCUCUCCCGGAGACCAUCCUCAUCGACUCGUUCGGCUACCUCAGCGACCGCACCAACGCCACCACCGCCAGGGGCCGCAGGAGCAGGACCAAGAAGAAGGGCAAGCGCAUCCUGGUCACCUUCUGGCCGGUUGCCCCGCCGCGCGUCUCCUGCUUCACUGUCCACUGCCCAGAUCUGAAGCCCGAUGCAUUCGCUGAAAUCCCCAAGAUCUCCUAUACGGAGGACGACCUCGUCCUGCUCAGCAUCACCAUCUGCCCCGAGCGCCUGCACGUGUACGGCAAGAACAUCCGCUACUUCGUCUACCAGGCCGGCACCAAGAAGACGCCGCCGUCGGUCAAGCUCGUCCACUGUCCCCCCUACUUCAGGAUCUACGACCAAGAGGUUGCCUUACUGCACUGCCACCACCAAGAGAUGUUCUUCAUCGCCGUGCUCCGCUGGGCCUCCAUUGCUCAGGAUUACACCGACGGGCACUUUAAUCUCCACCUGUACAACUCCAAGACAAAGGCAUGGAACAUCAAGUUGAUGCUUCUUGAUUCGCCCAAGGAUUUUGAGUUCCGCUCUUUCAACAAGGGGAUCACCAUUGGAGGGGAGCUUGGUUCAGUGGGUUGGGUCGACCUUAGGGGGGGCAUUAUCAUCUGUGACCUUCUCCUUGACAACCAGAGUCUUCGCUACAUCCCACUACCUUCGCCGCUGUCGCCCGAUCCAGUCAGGGGUUAUAUGUUGUAUGUUCGGAACGUCACUGUUCUCCAAGGUUACAUCAAGUAUUUUGAGAUGCACAGUAACGUCAGACCGGGCUCAGACACUGGAAGCUCCCUGAUAUGUGAAGGUUGGAUGGCUGCAACAAAAAAAAUAAAAAUUUCAAGCAUUGGCUCUACUUCUGGUAGUAGCAACUGGGAGGAGGACUGUACUAUCAGAUGCUCAGAUGAUGUACCAUUGGAUAGCCCUGUGUAUGCCCAAAUGCUACCUAAUCCGCAGGAGGGAGAUGAUGCCAAGCCAAGCCUGAAGAAAAUUCGUGUAGGCUAUCCUGCUCUUAGCUUGCAUGACGGUGAUGUUGUUUACCUUAUGCACAUGCCUGAUCCCCGUGGGGAUAAGGCCUGUGUGAUUGCUCUUGAUAUGAGGAACAAGGCUGUAAAAGGCGUGGCUAAUUUUGGCGGCUCUGGAAGACCCCUGGGUCAUUCUUACACCUACUUUCCGAGUGGGAUCUCCAAGCAUCUGGGCAUUUUCUCAUCAACCAGGUAAUUUCGUUAAGAGCUUUCAUAUCCUUUCGUAGCAAAAUGAUUUACAAACUGAAGUAUCAAAGGUAAACCAACUUGUACUGGCAGCAGAGAGUACUUUGGGUACUUUUACUGAGUGGAUGUGGAUUUGUUACAUCAAUGUUUUUAUUAUGUUGUGCAAGU
rnacentral:lncRNA from 1 species